rnacentral:rRNA from 1 species
AACGAACGCUGGCGGCAUGCCUAACACAUGCAAGUCGAACGAGCCCUUCGGGUCUAGUGGCGCACGGGUGCGUAACGCGUGGGAACCUGCCCUUAGGUUCGGAAUAACUCCCCGAAAGGGGUGCUAAUACCGGAUAAUGUCUUCGGACCAAAGAUUUAUCGCCUUUGGAUGGGCCCGCGGUGGAUUAGCUAGUUGGUAGGGUAAAAGCCUACCAAGGCGACGAUCCAUAGCUGGUCUGAGAGGAUGAUCAGCCACACUGGGACUGGGACACGGCCCAGACUCCCACGGGAGGCAGCAGUGGGGAAUAGUGGACAAUGGGCGAAAGCCUGAUCCAGCAAUGCCGCGUGAGUGAUGAAGGCCUGAGGGUUGUAAAGCUCUUUUAACCGGGAUGAUAAUGACAGUACCGGGAGAAUAAGCUCCGGCUAACUCCGUG